rnacentral:rRNA from 1 species
CAAGCGGUGGAGCAUGUGGUUUAAUUCGAUGAUACGCGAGGAACCUUACCUGGGCUCAAAUGUAUGUUGACGUAUUCUGAAAGGGAUACUUCUUCGGACAAUAUACAAGGUGCUGCAUGGUUGUCGUCAGCUCGUGCCGUGAGGUGUCGGGUUAAGUCCCAUAACGAGCGCAACCCCUAUCAUUAGUUGCCAUCAGGUCAAGCUGGGGACUCUAAUGAAACUGCCUACGCAAGUAGUGAGGAAGUGGGGAUGACGUCAAAUCAGCACGGCCCUUACGUCCAGGGCUACACACGUGCUACAAUGGCCGGUACAAAGGGCAGCUACCUGGUGACAGGAUGCUAAUCUCAAAAGCCGGUCUCAGUUCGGAUCGGAGUCUGCAACCCGGCUCCGUGAAGCUGGAAUCGCUAGUAAUCGCGCAUCAGCCAUGGCGCGGUGAAUACGUUCCCGGGCCUU